GUUGGGCCUCCCAAACACCUGCUGGGUCUAUAGCAACUAAAGGACAAGCAAUGAUUGAUUGGAGUGAUGCUGAGGCAGCAUGCGCUCCAUUCUCCAGAGACGGACACAUAACGGAGAAACAUCCGGCCUCAUUUCCAGCACUCCGUCUAAAAUUUGUCAUGAAGCACGCCUGAUUAUGAAAGUGGCCCUCCCUUCAGGUGAUUUAAAGCCAUGCUGGUGGGGAUUCCCCACAACAAAGCAUCUUCACCCGCCCUCCUCACCUUCCCAUGGCAACAGACGCCCCCCCUGGUCCUCUUCUACGACCCAGGAGUCGCACUGACACGGCAGCCUGGCAAGAAUAGCGGACAGCUGUUCCUAUGAUCCGUCUGCUAAUACAGAGAAGCCACCAAGAGAGGGAACAGAUUUCUAAAAAACUGUUCUCUCUCUCAUUAAUGUCAUAAUGAGAGCAGGGAUUGCUGGUUUGAAGUUGCUUGCUGUACUCUCUGCAGAAAAAAAAUGGACAAGGACAAGGAAGGAAAACUGGAAAAACUCACAAGAGGGCUCAUUUGAAGUAAAACUUAAAUCCCUGAGAAAAUCAGAAUACAUACUUCUAAUGGAAUCAAAUUAUCACAUCUCUUUACAGUAAAAUUCAAAUUGAGAAAACAACCUUAAAUUUUUGCCUGGCACAAAUGGUUGGAGAGAGUUUUUGAACUCAAAAACGUCAGAAAUCAGACGACCAAAACUGAGGACUCUGAAGCCCUCGAGUGUUACCUGGAAGCUAAUGUUCAUGUUUUGAAAUCCCAUCUGAAAUCGUUUCCCCAUCUUAAAAAGCAACUUUGCAAAAAUUAGAAUAUGAAAGAAAGAAACAAAGGACGAUUAAGUUAGGUAAGUUAUUCCCGACUUCCCUGCCACUAUUGUACAAUGACGUCGGCAGGCGUAUUAAUAUAAGAUGAGAUCUUGUUUUUUGAGCCACUUUGUUGCUAUUUUUCAAUUUUUUUCUUAGUGCAAAUUCAUCUUUUUUUGUUUUGUCAGGUUAAAGAAGCAAAAGAAGAUUGUCUGAAUGUAUUCAGAAAACGUUCAACAUUUUACAUGAGCCGUGUUCGUUAGUCCAUCAUAGUUUCAACUGAAUUUUUUUAGGGCGUACUUCAGUCUCGGUGUCCUUCUUGAGAAUGGGCUGACCAUCAAAACGAGAGACCGUAUAAGUCAUGCUCACCCACACAUCUGUGAGCACAGACCACCAGAUGGUAAUUGCUGUUUCUCAUUGUCCGUGCCGCUGCUGAUUAGCUUCUAGCCUUUAGUCGACACUCGAAGGCGCACAAGAGGAACAAAGCUGCAUGCGUGUAUGCAUAGCCGCCCUCCCGGCAUCAGAACAAAGUAGCACUCAGGGAAAAGAUAGAAAUUUAAGUAUCUCCAAGAAGACUACUGUGCCUUCAAUUAGCUGGGUGCUUGAGAGGUCACAUUAAAAUGUAGAGAGGGUGGCCACCCGGCAGUGAUUCAGAAUAUAUGUGCAUCCUAAUGAAGCCAUUACAAUUAAGAGGAAGGCAGGACCCUUGGCGUAAUCAGUGGAAUAUGAAAUAAUCCAUAUGCAUGAAACAUUUAGGAAAGUCUGAUAGCUCUGACAGAAGGACGCUGGUAUAUGCGUGGUUCUUGUAUUAGUCAUGUUUUUUAAUGUAAGACCUUUAAAAAUCAUCUUUAAUUUUUUCCUUGUAUAAUGGGACUUUUACAAUACAUGAUUCAAGUGGAAAAAAAUAAAAUGAAAACAGCUAGAAUGAGUGGACAAGACCUUACAUUAGUACUUUACAGGUUUUUUUAUUAUUAUUAUUGUUGUUAAAUUUGCAUCAUGUAGUUAAAGCUCCAGUUUUGAAAAUAUCAGGAUAAUCUCAUUUUUCCAUUAGCCAGCAGGGUUAAAAAAUAAACAAAUAAAAAAAUGUAACAGUGUAGUGGACAGCUGUUAAUAAUUUGAGGAAAUAUGAGAUUACAGAAAAUUGCAAAAAAACUGGACUUCAUUAUGACAAAAUGUCAAGAUAAAUAUAAAUAUUCUACAUGGGUCAACAACUCACUGUACUAUUUAUCUAUCUGGACAAAGUAAUCGGGUGAAGAGAUGUGUUGUAUAUCCAAUAUAACCAAAAUCUUCCAGGGGAAGACAAUAUCAUCAACAUCAUGUUAAAACGAGUAAAAGCAUGAACAGUUUUAAACACGUCAGUUCAACUUCGGCGGUCUACUAGAAAGCUGAUGACAAAGGUUUUACUUUUCUUGAUCGGAGUUCAAGCAUGCAUCCAAAUCAACAAUAGAAUGGCAACCAGAAGAAGGCCAAGCUGGAGUUCAGGACCAUAACUGAGAGAAAAUCUGUGGCAUCACAUGACCAGAGUCGGUGGAUAACAGAUGUCAUCACAACGUGACAGAUUUGGAGAGAAUUUGCAAGUCAGAAUGGAUGCUGAUAGAUCCGUACCAAAUAUGAAUGGAUGCUGCUUGUGAAUCAAAAAGUGAUAAGUAGUAGCUUAAGGAUGUGUACACCUCUGCAAGCAGGCA